rnacentral:rRNA from 1 species
GAAUUUUGGACAAUGGGGGCAACCCUGAUCCAGCAAUGCCGCGUGAGUGAAGAAGGCCUUCGGGUUGUAAAGCUCUUUUGUCAGGGAAGAAAAGGCUGUGGCUAAUAUCCACAGCUGCUGACGGUACCUGAAGAAUAAGCACCGGCUAACUACGUGCCAGCAGCCGCGGUAAUACGUAGGGUGCAAGCGUUAAUCGGAAUUACUGGGCGUAAAGCGUGCGCAGGCGGUUUCGUAAGUCUGUCGUGAAAUCCCCGGGCUUAACCUGGGAAUGGCGAUGGAGACUGCGAGGCUAGAGUUUGGCAGAGGGGGGUAGAAUUCCACGUGUAGCAGUGAAAUGCGUAGAGAUGUGGAGGAACACCGAUGGCGAAGGCAGCCCCCUGGGUCAAAACUGACGCUCAUGCACGAAAGCGUGGGGAGCAAACAGG